rnacentral:lncRNA from 1 species
CGAAUCAUAGGCGAUAAACUAUGGAGGCCUCCAUGAGCAUUUUCAUGGGCUUAGGCCGUAAUUGGCCACGUUGGGCCGUGUGAGCUCAAUGGGCUCAUGGGCCCCACAUGGAUGAAAACCAUGAUUUGUGGUAAAUACUGGACUAGGUUAUGUAGAUCCCAUAGCCGUGGUGAAAUCUGGGCUAAACAGGCCACACGAG